AUGUAAGAAUUUAAAGGUCGAACAGACCUAUAUAUUAAGCGGCUACACCCAAUUAUUUUCUUAAUCCAACAUCGAGGUCGCAAGCCUUCCUGUAAAUAUGAACUCUGGAGGAAGAUUACGCUGUUAUCCCUAAGGUAACUUAGUCUAGCAAUCAAUAAGAUUGGAUCUUAAAUUCAUAAAUCAAUGUAAAUUUAAUCAAAAAGUUGAUUAUAUAUUUUUGUCACCCCAACAAAAUAAUUAUGACCGUAAAUAAUAAUAAUAAACAAAACCUAAUUAAAACCAUAAAUAUAAAGCUCUAUAGGGUCUUCUCGUCUUCCAAUACUAUUUCAGCCUUUUGACUGAAAAGUUAAAUUCUAACCUCAAAUUAAAUGAGACAGUCAGAACUUCGUCAAACCUUUCAUUCCAGCCCUCUAUUAAAAGACUAANGAUUAUGCUACCUUUGCACGGUCAAGAUACCGCGGCCGUUAAACCUUUAUUCACUGGGCAGGUCAGACCUCCUAUACAUACAGGAGGCCAUGUUUUUGAUAAACAGGCGAGCACUGUUUUUGCCGAAUUCCUUAUCUAAUUAUAUCAAAAUAAAUAUAAUAUACAAUAAUCCUAUACUAAUUCAAUCAUUGUUACAAACUUUACGAAAUUAAAAAUAACAUUUUAAUAAUAUACUAAAACAUAAAAAAUCAAUACAAAAUAUAAUAAACUAUAACGAACUUAUAAAUGAUAGACGUUUUAAAUCCUACAACAUAUAAAUAAUAAUUAUACUUUUAGAAUAAAUUCAGAGCUUAUCCCCUAAAGUCUUAAUCUCAACCUAUGAGUGGUUAACAAAUUAACCACUUAACGAUUAAGUCUAAAUUAAAUUUAUCUUAAAAAACU
rnacentral:rRNA from 1 species